rnacentral:rRNA from 1 species
UUGCGUAGGUGGUUUGUAAAGCGAAUAGUGAAAUCUGGCGGCUCAACCGUAUAGGCUAUUAUUCGAACUCACAAACUCGAGAAUGGUAGAGGUUACUGGAAUUUCUAGUGUAGGAGUGAAAUCCGUAGAUAUUAGAAGGAACACCAAUGGCGUAGGCAGGUAACUGGACCAUUUCUGACACUAAGGCACGAAAGCGUGGGGAGCGAACC